rnacentral:rRNA from 1 species
AUUGAACGCUGGCGGCAGGCUUAACACAUGCAAGUCGAGCGAGCGGCGGACGGGUGAGUAAUGUCUGGGAAACUGCCUGAUGGAGGGGGAUAACUACUGGAAACGGUAGCUAAUACCGCGUACCAUAGGAUGAGCCCAAGUGGGAUUAGGUAGUUGGUGAGGUAAAGGCUCACCAAGCCGACGAUCUCUAGCUGGUCUGAGAGGAUGACCAGCCACACUGUGACUGCGACACGGCCCAGACUCCUACGGGAGGCAGCAGUGGGGAUUAUUGCGCAAUUGGGGCAACCUGACGCAGCCAUUCCGCGUGAAUGAAGAAGGCCUUCGGGUUGUAAAGUUCUUUCGGUAGCGAGGCGUUAACUACAGAAGAAGCACCGGCUAACUCCGUGCCAGCCGCCGCGGUAAUAC